UUAGUUUCUGUUCAUCGAGUGGGGCUGAUGUAGAUGGGACUGGAGAGGGAGGCAGGGAUGAGGGCAAGACUCGACGCCCCAAUAGAGCUCUGUGUAGUGAUAGUUCUUGCUUGGCUUUAUUAGUUUGCGGAGGAAUCGUCCAGGAGCCCUAGCCGGACAAGAAUAUGGCAGAAGUGGACCUGAGCAGUCUGGACAUCCUUCUAAGGAGAUAUGAAUAGUCCUCAUGUUUCUGCCUUCUGCAUCGCUGGCUGUGAGUAAGAGGUUUAGAGCCAAGGAAAACGAAGUCACGCGUCAGAGUCUACUGCCCUCAUGCGAUGGAAAGCGAGCGAGAGCGUUGAGACUCUGAGCAUUGUUGAUGCCACUCAAAAGCCGUCCAUCUGGGAGCUGUGGAGACGCCGCUGUCAGUGAGAUAAGUGUCUGGUUUGGUGAGGGCUCUGCUCACGCCCAACCUGAGUCCAGGUUGGGAAGCCCACUAAGUUGGGGCUGGGUUUGUAUGAAAAGGUUCCUGACUAACUGUGGUUACGAGGGGGAAAAGGUCCCUAUUUUCAGAGGUUGUUCAUUUCUCUGGUCAGGAAUGGUGUCUCCUCUGCAGCGGAAGGUUGGAUUCAGAAGGAUGACUCCAGGUGGUCAGUUGCUUGCUUUCCUCCCAUGUUUUUCUUUCUCUCUCUCUCUUGUCUAGUAUGUUGGCCAACACACACCCUCUAGCUCUCGCUGUCUGUCCUUGCCUUUCCUCGUGUUGUCUCCCUUCGUAAGACACGGGCAGCCGUGUAACUUGUGUAUCCCCACAGGCUAUGUCUCGGGAGCCACGGAGAAGUAGGAGGGGACGAAAACCAUGCAGGGCUGUAACUGUCGGUGUUAACUUGGUCUCUGUUCAUCGAGUGGGGCUGAUGUAGAUGGGAUUGGAGAGGGAGGCCAGGAUGAGGGCAAGAUUUGAAGCAACAAAUAGAGCUUUAAGUAGUGAUGGCUCAUGCUUGGCUUUUGCAGCUGCGCUUCCAGAGGAAUUUUCCAAGAGCCCUAUCCUGAGGAGAAAGUGGCAGAAGUGGACAUGAGCAGACUGGACAUCCUUAUAAGCAGAUAUAAACAGUUCUCAGCUUUCUGACUCCCACAUAAUUGGCUCUGAGACCGAGGGAAAAGAAAUCAAACGUCAGCGUCACGCCUCAGAGACUCAAGCCCUCAUGUGAUGGAAAGCAAGCCGGAGCGACGAGACCAUGAGCAUUGUUGAUGUCACGCAAAAGCCGUCCAACUGGGAGGGGAACGGCCGCCACUCUCAGUGAGAUAAGUGUCUGGUUUGGUGAUUGUUGUGCUCAUGGCCCACCUUUCUCCUGCUAGGGACGCCA